rnacentral:lncRNA from 1 species
CUGUGAGCUACUCCUCUCUAUGCAUCUAUUUUGGGAUGAAGUUUUCACUUCAGCACAGAUGUUCAGAACUGGGUUUCGUGCAGUAACGAUAUGUUCACAUCAUUUUCCUUUUUGCACCAGAAACCACGAGCUGAGGAGCUGGGGCCAGCAGCAGCUGGCAGAGCUGGUAAGAGGCACUCUGGGCACAUUUCCCUCCCUUUGCUUACAGCUGCCGAUGCCACGGGCACGGUGGCCACAGCCAGACCCCUUGGCCACCACGUGUCAGGGUCUCCCUGGCAGCAGCCCCGGCUGUGGCAGCGCUGCCACCCCCCGGGGCAGAGCCAGCCCCCAGAACAUCCAGUGCACCCAAUAUCUGGGGCAAAAACACCCUCAGAAUUAUUCUGCUUCCUUCUUCCUGCAACCAUUUCCUGCCCAGGGAGCAGAGGUGAUUCGAGCUCUUCCCCAGGUUCCUGUUCCUCCCCCGCGAAGGCCCAGAAUCCUCCCCAGCUCAGAAAUGCCUCCCAGCUGCAGACACAGGAGACGCUUGGAACAAAAUUCUAUUAUUUUGCUUUUCACAACUGAUGCAGUUGUCAUUGCUGCUGCUGUGGUUGUCAUUGUCCUGGCCAGCGAGGUGCCACAUCCCCCAGGGGUGACGGGCACAGCAAGGUGCCACAUCCCCGAGGGGUGGCAGGGACGCCGAGGGGUGGCAGGGAUGCGAGGUGCCACAUGCCCGAGGGGUGGCAGGGAUGCGAGGUGCCACAUCCCAGAAACGUGGCGGGCACAGCGAGGUGCCACAGCCGCAGUUUCCCGAGCCGCUUUGGCAGCAGCUCCUUCUCGUGGCUCUGCUCGGCACCCCAGCUCUGACUCCUGCCCGCAGCCACAGCCCCGGGCAGAGCUGCUGCCCCGAGCCCGCAGAGGACAGAGCCGGCCCGAGGGUCCCGCAGAGCCCUGGGACGGAGCCGGGAGCCACCGCAGCCGAAGUCACAGAGGAAAAUGGAGCUGGGUUCUUUCUGCCAGUUCUGAACACCGGCACUGCCCCACACGCUGUUUGUCCUUGGCAGCUGAAUGUGGGGAUACGUGAAAUGCUGGUGCCAUCCUGAGCAUGGCACAAAGGGAGUGCAGGGGACGGGGUGCUCGGCCAGCAGGAAUGGGGUGUCCAGGUGUGCUGACCUGAAAACGGGGCUAAUAGACCUGUCUGGGAAAGGCCAGUUCGUGCUGGGGGUCACAGGAGACACCCGCAAUCCCCCUGGAAAACAACUGCCCUGAGGUGUUUCCUUCAAUCAAUUAAAGUUGUGGUGUUGUGAUCGAAAAUUUUGAUUAUCAGUGAUUUGUGGGAAACCGGAGGAGCUGCAACGGAGGAGCUGCAACACGUGGCAGCAGAGCUCCC